AGCGAACGUUUGCGGCGGGCUUAACACAUGCAAGUCGAACGGGCUGUUCCUUCGGGGGCAGUCAGUGGCGCACGGGUGCGUAACACGUAGGUAAUCAACCCUCUGGUUGGGGAUAACACUUCGAAAGGAGUGCUAAUACCCGGUAUGGCGCAGCGGUCUUCGGAUCGCGGCGAGAAAGACCCGCAAGGGUUGCCAGAGGACGAGCCUGCGGCCCAUCAGCUAGUUGGCGAGGUAACGGCUCACCAAGGCGAAGACGGGUAGCUGGUCUGAGAGGAUGAUCAGCCACACUGGAACUGAGACACGGUCCAGACUCCUACGGGAGGCAGCGGUGGGGAAUAUUGCGCAAUGGGCGAAAGCCUGACGCAGCCACGCCGCGUGAGCGAUGAAGGCC
rnacentral:rRNA from 1 species